ensembl:misc_RNA Metazoa_SRP Metazoan signal recognition particle RNA
GCCGGGCGUGGUGGUGCGCGCCUGUAGUCCCAGCUACUUGGAGGCUGAGCCAGGAGAAUGGCGUGAACCCGGGAGGCGGAGCUUGCAGUGAGCCGAGAUCGGGCCACUGCACUCCAGCCUGGGCAACAAAGCCAGACUCCGUCUCAA